rnacentral:lncRNA from 1 species
UUAUGACCUCCCUCUCUUCCUCUGCCUUAGCAUAGCUUCCAGGCGGACCUGCUCCAUGAUCUUCCCCAGCACAGAAAUGAGGCUGACAGGACAGUAGUUUCCUUGGUCACUCUUUGAAGCCUUCUUAAAAAUGGGUGCUACUUUGCCUUUUUUCCAGUCACCUACGACUUCGCUUGACCAACAUGACUUUCCAAAUAUCAUCUAGAGUAGCAUGGCUACUUUAUCAACCAAUUCCCUCAGGGCUCCAGGAUGUGUUUCAUCAGGAGCCAUAGAUUUCCAGCCUUUCUCCAGCUGUCUGAGAAGCUCAUGACUGGUAUAUUAGAAGACAGCCUGUAGCAAAAUUGAAAACAAAGAUUGGUAAGAAGUUCAAG